GAUGAAGAACGCAGCGAAAUGCGAUAAGUAAUGUGAAUUGCAGAAUUCAGUGAAUCAUCGAGUUUUUGAACGCAUAUUGCGCCCUCUGGUAUUCCGGGGGGCAUGCCUGUUCGAGCGUCAUUUGCAACCCUCAAGCCCGGCUUGUGUGAUGGGUGCCGUCCCCUACGGGACGCGCCCCGAAGGCAAUGGCGGCGUCGCGGUUAUCCGAUCAGCCAAAGUGUAUGGGGCUUUGUCACUCACUUUACGGCCCGGACCGGCGCCAGUCCGAAUCAAUCUUUUUUCUAAAGUUGACCUCGGAUCAGGUAGGGAUACCCGCUGAACUUAAGCAUAUCAAUAAGCGGAGGA
rnacentral:misc_RNA from 1 species